rnacentral:rRNA from 1 species
GGUAGUGUAGUUAACACCUAGCACUUAUUUGACGUUACCUACAGAAGAAGCACCGGCUAACUCCGUGCCAGCAGCCGCGGUAAUACGGAGGGUGCGAGCGUUAAUCGGAAUUACUGGGCGUAAAGCGCAUGCAGGCGGCCUGUUAAGUCAGAUGUGAAAGCCCGGGGCGUUAACCUCGGAAUUGCAUUUGUAAACUGGCAGGCUAGAGUCUUGUAGAGGGGGUAGGAAUUUCAGGUGUAGCGGUGAAAUAGCGUAGAGAUCUGAAGGAAUACCAGUGGCGAAGGCGGCCCCCUCGGACAAAGACUGACGCUCAGAUGCGAAAGCGUGGGGAGCAAACAGGAUUAGAUACCCUGGUAG